rnacentral:rRNA from 1 species
GAUUGCAAUCUGAAUCGGAGGAAAAGAAACUAACAAGGAUUCCCCUAGUAGCGGCGAGCGAAGCGGGAAGAGCUCAAAUUUAUAAUCUGGCACCUUCGGUGUCCGAGUUGUAAUCUCUAGAAAUGUUUUCCGCGUUGGACCGCACACAAGUCUGUUGGAAUACAGCGGCAUAGUGGUGAGACCCCCGUAUAUGGUGCGGACGCCCAGCGCUUUGUGAUACAUUUUCGAAGAGUCGAGUUGUUUGGGAAUGCAGCUCAAAUUGGGUGGUAAAUUCCAUCUAAAGCUAAAUAUUGGCGAGAGACCGAUAGCGAACAAGUACCGUGAGGGAAAGAUGAAAAGCACUUUGGAAAGAGAGUUAACAGUACGUGAAAUUGUUGGAAGGGAAACGCUUGAAGUCAGACUUGCUUGCCGAGCAAUCGGUUUGCAGGCCAGCAUCAGUUUUCCGGGAUGGAUAAUGGUAGAGAGAAGGUAGCAGUUUCGGCUGUGUUAUAGCUCUCUGCUGGAUACAUCUUGGGGGACUGAGGAACGCAGUGUGCCUUUUGGCGGGGGUUUCGACCUCUUCACACUUAGGAUGCUGGUGGAAUGGCUUUAAACGACCCGUCUUGCACCCCCGGACCAA